rnacentral:rRNA from 1 species
UACAGAGGGCGCGAGCGUUGUCCGGAAUCACUGGGCGUAAAGGGCGCGUAGGUGGCGGCAUAAGGCCGCGGUGAAAGUCUGGGGCUCAACCCCAGAUCGGCCGCGGCGACUGUGUCGCUCGAGCACGGUAGAGGCAGAUGGAAUUCCGGGUGUAGCGGUGGAAUGCGUAGAUAUCAGGAGGAACACCGAUGGCGAAGGCAGGUCUCUGGGCAUUAACUGACGCUGAGGAGCGAAAGCAUGGGGAGCGAACAGG